CAGUAGCCGCGGGAAUACGAGGGGGGCAAGCGUUGUUCGGAAUUAUUGGGCGUAAAGGGCGCGUAGGCGGUUUGGCAAGUUUGGUGUGAAAUCUUCGGGCUCAACCCGAAGUCUGCACCGAAAACUGCCGGGCUUGAGUAUGGGAGAGGUGAGUGGAAUUUCCGGUGUAGCGGUGAAAUGCGUAGAUAUCGGAAGGAACACCUGUGGCGAAGGCGGCCAUCUGGGACAACACUGACGCUGAGGCACGAAAGCGUGGGGAGCAAACAGGAUUAGAUACCCCUGUAGUCCCUGUCUCUUAUAU
rnacentral:rRNA from 1 species